GACACCAAUUUUGGGGACUGUUUUGAAUUGGUGUAUAUGUUGAAUAGUCUUGCACCGUGUAAUUUGAUCGGUGAGUUGUUAUGGAGAUGUCGUCGGUAUUUGGUGGCCCAAUGCUCAUAUUUGAUUAAAUUAUUCAUAAUCGGUAUGUUUGGUUACAUUAUUUACGGGUUUUGCCCCCAAAUUUCAUGUCUUGUUCAGCAAAACUGCAAAAGCAUGGGUCUUCUUGUUUUGGUGGGAUGAAAAGAAUGGGUGAUGGCAGGAAAACCAAAAUUUGUUCCAAAAUUAUACUUUGUUUAUUGUAUUUGAAACCCACCCAAUGUUGCGAGCACUUUACCAAAAUAUGACCUAGCUCUCUCUCGAGACGAGAUUGAAGGCUGAAUCUUCUCAGAGACGUCGUCGUCCAUGUGUGGCCUAUGUAACCUCGCUCACCAUUCGUUGCUGCGAUCAUGGCUGGAGGACUGUUGAAGAUAAUGAUCUGAGCAUGAUGAUCUCAGAAUUUUCAGUUUCCCACACCAAGAGGAUUUGCUUCCGUAAGUCACAGUCGCUAGAGUUAGCCGGACGCGCAACACUCGCCACCGCAUUUAUGGCAAAUAAGCUAUUUGAUCCUCUAUCCUCCUCAUAUCUAAGAUUACUUAUUUUGUAAAAUUGUGUUGGCUGCCAAGAGUAUUGAAGUUGCAUGUGAGAAUGUGAAAUUGUGUUGGCUGCGUCAUGGCAAGUUACUGGUGGUACAUGCACCAUACAUGAUCUUCUGCUAACUUUGUUCCUUUGUUACUGACUGUGGUGUAUCUCAGGAUACAUACAUUUCAUUUGGGUUGGCGGGAUGAGUGCUCGUUCUUAUGACCUGAAUAUUCUCUAUCCAGUUAUUGAAGCAAAAUUUAAGGGGUUAAAGUUUCUGCACUUCAUGUGGUACCCUACGAUGAUGCAGAAGAAUUUUACAGGGGAAUCAGAUUUUCAAAUUGGGUCAUGUAACUGAAAGUGUUAAGUGGUGCAGACGGAGUGUCAUGGCAAGUCACUGAAGGUACAUACAACAUAAAUAAUCUAGUGCAAACAUUUGGUUUAUCUCUUGCAUUAAGUAGUACGUGAAACUGAUGGUGCUUUCAUUUUUCUUUCUUACUAGUAAGAGCUCUGUUCUCCAUUCUGAGAAUUCAGAUAAGUUUUCUCAUGGUAAAGCAUUUCAGUUUAAUUGCUUAGUUUAAGCAUGUUAUUUAAUAUGUGCUUAUGAAUUAUUUAGUCGAACUUGAAUGAUUUUAACUGCUAUUGUGUUUAGUCAUUACUGGGAGGGUUGAGUCUAGGGUGUGCUCUCAUUGGACGGUUUCCCCUGCUACCAAUGAGUUUGAUUUAUUGGCUCAUAACAAGGUCUAUCCAUACGUACUAUCUACACAUAUAAGGAAAUCUAUUGAAGAAAUUUAUUGAAAUGCAAGUUUAAUAAAGAAAUCCAUGUUCCUUGAUUUGUGUGUAUUUCCAUCUCAUUGCCCCAACUUUGGCGUUUCUAUGACAAUUAAACCGACUCAGAAGAGUUUGGAUGAAGAAAAUGUUGUAGAAUGCCAUAACAUGUUUAGUGAUUUGUUCAUUUCAGGUAAUGUCAAGGUGGCCUUGUUAGAAGGGAAUCAAUGGAUUCUAUUUUGAAAACGACUUUGAACAGGGAUGAGCAUUCACUCAAAAGAUUGGAAUGAAGCAAUCUUAAAUUAAAAUAUAGGAAUGUCAGGCUUUUGAUAUCCAUUUGGAGUGGCAUGGAACCAACUGAAGCUUAAUAACAUACUGGGGAACUGAAAGAAUUUAAGAGGCUGUACGAAUUAACCUGCUGAAGACAUUGAGACAAUAUCAUUGAGUUUUUCCUUCUGGAGUUGCUACUAGUAAUUGAAACAUCAACUUUGUGGUAGGUUUAAGCUUUGUAAGUUGCAGUAAGUUUUUUAUUUUCGGAUAAGGUAGUGCAAUAAGAUGUAUAUAUGUAUCAACUCUGACUUUAGA